rnacentral:rRNA from 1 species
GAUGAACGCUGGCGGCGUGCCUAAUACAUGCGAGUCGAGCGAACGGACGAGAAGCUUGCUUCUCUGAUGUUAGCGGCGGACGGGUGAGUAACACGUGGAUAACCUACCUAUAAGACUGGGAUAACUUCGGGAAACCGGAGCUAAUACCGGAUAAUAUUUUGAACCGCAUGGUUCAAAAGUGAAAGACGGUCUUGCUGUCACUUAUAGAUGGAUCCGCGCCGCAUUAGCUAGUUGGUAAGGUAACGGCUUACCAAGGCAACGAUGCAUAGCCGACCUGAGAGGGUGAUCGGCCACACUGGAACUGAGACACGGUCCAGACUCCUACGGGAGGCAGCAGUAGGGAAUCUUCCGCAAUGGGCGAAAGCCUGACGGAGCAACGCCGCGUGAGUGAUGAAGGUCUUCGGAUCGUAAAACUCUGUUAUUAGGGAAGAACAUAUGUGUAAGUAGCUGUGCACAUCUUGACGGUACCUAAUCAGAAAGCCACGGCUAACUACGUG